rnacentral:rRNA from 1 species
UAGUGGCGAACGGGUGAGUAACACGUGGGCAAUCUGCCCUUCACUCUGGGACAAGCCCUGGAAACGGGGUCUAAUACCGGAUACCACUCCUGCCCGCAUGGGUGGGGGUUGAAAGCUCCGGCGGUGAAGGAUGAGCCCGCGGCCUAUCAGCUUGUUGGUGGGGUAAUGGCCCACCAAGGCGACGACGGGUAGCCGGCCUGAGAGGGCGACCGGCCACACUGGGACUGAGACACGGCCCAGACUCCUACGGGAGGCAGCAGUGGGGAAUAUUGCACAAUGGGCGAAAGCCUGAUGCAGCGACGCCGCGUGAGGGAUGACGGCCUUCGGGUUGUAAACCUCUUUCAGCAGGGAAGAAGCGAAAGUGACGGUACCUGCAGAAGAAGCGCCGGCUAACUACGUGCCAGCAGCCGCGGUAAUACGUAGGGCGCAAGCGUUGUCCGGAAUUAUUGGGCGUAAAGAGCUCGUAGGCGGCUUGUCACGUCGGAUGUGAAAGCCCGAGGCUUAACCUCGGGUCUGCAUUCGAUACGG